ACGCCUAAUACAUGCAAGUCGAACGAAGUAGCAAUACUUAGUGGCAGACGGGUGAGUAACAUGUGGGUAUCUUCCCUUUGGUGAGGAAUAACACGAGGAAACUUGUGCUAAUACCUCAUAAGUCUUUACGGAGAAAGCUUUAUGCGCCAUUGGAUGAGCCUGCACUUGAUUAGUUUGUUGGUGGGGUAAUGGCCUACCAAGACUUUGAUCAAUAGCUGAUUUGAGAGGAUGAUCAGCCACAUUGGGACUGAGACACGGCCCAAACUCCUACGGGAGGCAGCAGUAGGGAAUCUUGCACAAUGGAGGAAACUCUGAUGCAGCGAUGCCGCGUGAGUGAAGAAGGCCCUUGGGUUGUAAAGCUCUUUCGUCGGGGAAGAAAAUGACUGUACCCGAAUAAGAAGGUCCGGCUAACUUCGUGCCAGCAGCCGCGGUAAUACGAAGGGACCUAGCGUAGUUCGGAAUUACUGGGCUUAAAGAGUUCGUAGGUGGUUAAAAAAGUUGGUGGUGAAAUCCCAGAGCUUAACUCUGGAACUGCCAUCAAAACUUUUUAGCUAGAGUAUGAUAGAGGAAAGCAGAAUUUCUAGUGUAGAGGUGAAAUUCGUAGAUAUUAGAAAGAAUACCGAUUGCGAAGGCAGCUUUCUGGAUCAUUACUGACACUGAGGAACGAAAGCAUGGGUAGCGAAGAGGAUUAGAUACCCUCGUAGUCCAUGCCGUAAACGAUGUGUGUUAGACGUUGGGAAUUUAUUUUCAGUGUCGCAGCGAAAGCAAUAAACACACCGCCUGGGGAGUACGACCG
rnacentral:rRNA from 1 species